rnacentral:rRNA from 1 species
GACGAACGCUGGCGGCGUGCUUAACACAUGCAAGUCGAACGAAGUGGCGAACGGGUGAGUAACGCGUAAUCAACCUGCCCUUCAGAGGGGGACAACAGUUGGACACGACUGCUAAUACCGCAUACUGAAGGAGGGGAUUGCGUUGGAUUAGCUAGUUGGGGGGGUAACGGCCCACCAAGGCGAGGAUCAGUAGGCGGUCUGGGAGGGUGGACAGGCACAUUGGGACUGGGGCACUGCCCAGACUCCUACGGGUAGGAGCAGUGGGGAAUCUUCCGCAAUGGACGAAAGUCUGACGAAGCAACGCCGCGUGAGUGGUGACGGCCUUCGGGUUGUAAAGCUCUGUUAGUCGGGACGCGGUACCGAAAUAGAAAGCCACGGCUAACUACGUGCCAGCAGCCGCGGUAAUAC